AGAGUUUGAUCAUGGCUCAGAACGAACGCUGGCGGCGUGGAUAAGACAUGCAAGUCGAACGCUAAUUUCGAGGUAGCAAUAUUUCGGAGUUGGAGUGGCGAAAGGGUGCGUAACAUGUGGGUAAUCUGCCGUGAAGUUUGGGAUAACUUGCUGAAAGGCGAGCUAAUACCGGAUGUAAUCGCUGGGAGACAUCUCUUGGUGAUCAAAGUUGGGGACCGUAAGGCCUGACGCUUCACGAUGAGCCCGCAUCCUAUCAGCUAGUUGGUGAGGUAACGGCUCACCAAGGCUAAGACGGGUAGCUGGUCUGAGAGGACGACCAGCCACACUGGAACUGAGACACGGUCCAGACACCUACGGGUGGCAGCAGUCGAGAAUUUUUCACAAUGGGCGAAAGCCUGAUGGAGCGACGCCGCGUGGGGGAUGAAGGGCUUCGGUCCGUAAACCCCUGUCAUUUGCGAACAAACCUUUUCACCUAACACGUGGAGAGCUGAUUGUAGCGAAAGAGGAAGGGACGGCUAACUCUGUGCCAGCAGCCGCGGUAAUACAGAGGUCCCAAGCGUUGUUCGGAUUUACUGGGCGUAAAAGGGUGCGUAGGUGGCGAGGUAAGUUUGAUGUGAAAUCUCCGAGCUCAACUCGGAAAUGGCAUUGAAUACUAUCCCGCUUGAGGGUCGGAGGGGAGACUGGAAUUCUCGGUGUAGCAGUGAAAUGCGUAGAUAUCGAGAGGAACACCAGUGGCGAAGGCGAGUCUCUGGACGACUCCUGACACUGAGGCACGAAAGCUGGGGGAGCAAACAGGAUUAGAUACCCUAGUAGUCC
rnacentral:rRNA from 1 species